GUCCACGCUGUAAACGAUGGGCACUAGGUGUCCGGGGUAUUGACCCCCUGGGUGCCGCAGCUAACGCAUUAAGUGCCCCGCCUGGGGGAGUACGGUCGCAAGAUUAAAACUCAAAGGAAUUGACGGGGGCCCGCACAAGCGGUGGAGCAUGUGGUUCAAUUCGACGCAACGCGAAGAACCUUACCUGGGCUAGACAACGGUGGACCGUCCUAGAAAUAGGAUCUUCCCUUCGGGGACUGCCGGUUCAGGUGCUGCAUGGCUGUCGU
rnacentral:rRNA from 1 species